CUGCGAUAUUUGAUGGGAGGGUGAGAACCCUCGUGGUUCGAGCCGAGCGUAGCGAGACAACAGCGGAGCUCGCGACGCUGGCCCCGGAGGGGCGAAGUAAUCCCUCCCUCACCGCCA
rnacentral:sRNA from 1 species